ACGUAGGUCCCGAGCGUUGUCCGGAUUUAUUGGGCGUAAAGCGAGCGCAGGUGGUUGUAUAAGUCUGAAGUAAAAGGCAGUGGCUCAACCAUUGUGUGCUUUGGAAACUGUACAACUUGAGUGCAGAAGGGGAGAGUGGAAUUCCAUGUGUAGCGGUGAAAUGCGUAGAUAUAUGGAGGAACACCGGUGGCGAAAGCGGCUCUCUGGUCUGUAACUGACACUGAGGCUCGAAAGCGUGGGGAGCAAACAGGAUUAGAUACCCUGGUAGUCCACGCCGUAAACGAUGAGUGCUAGGUGUUGGGUCCUUUCCGGGACUCAGUGCCGCAGCUAACGCAUUAAGCACUCCGCCUGGGGAGUACGGCCGCAAGGCUG
rnacentral:rRNA from 1 species